rnacentral:rRNA from 1 species
UUCCAGACUCCUACGGGAGGCAGCAGUGAGGAAUAUUGGUCAAUGGGCUUACGCCUGAACCAGCCAAGUCGCGUGAGGGAAGACUGCCCUAUGGGUUGUAAACCUCUUUUGUCAGGGAGCAACGCCGGCUACGUGUAGCCGGACUGAGAGUACCUGAAGAAAAAGCAUCGGCUAACUCCGUGCCAGCAGCCGCGGUAAUACGGAGGAUGCGAGCGUUAUCCGGAUUUAUUGGGUUUAAAGGGUGCGCAGGCGGGCUGUUAAGCCGGCGGUAAAAAUUCAGGGCUCAACCCUGUCGAGCCGUCGGAACUGGCAGUCUUGAGUGGGCGAGAAGUAUGCGGAAUGCGUGGUGUAGCGGUGAAAUGCAUAGAUAUCACGCAGAACUCCGAUUGCGAAGGCAGCAUACCGGCGCCCAACUGACGCUGAAGCACGAAAGCGUGGGUAUCGAACAGGAUUAGAUACCCCAGUA